AGCCUGGACGCUGUCCCUGAGGUGACCCCAGGGCUCAGGAGAAACGGUGGUCCAGCUGAUAGACAAUGACAGCGCCCUCCAGCAGCAGGAGGAUGUUGAGGAUCCGCAGGGGUUUGCUGAAAAAGAACUGCCCGGAAGCGGGUGGGCAUGGCUAAAAGGUGUGCUCCAGAAAUCUUCCUCCUGGAUGGGGGUUCUGGGUGGGCCAGUGAAGGGGACAGCCUCCUGGGGCCCCAUGCAGACAUGGGUGGGGAAGAAGACUUUCUGGGGUUGGAUGUGGACUUUGCCACCUCAUCUGCCUUUGCUUGUGGUAUUCCUCCUGAUAGGACUGCUGCUUCUGAUGUAAGUCAUCUAAGAUCCUGUUCAACUUCUACCUCCCCUAGGAAGUCUUUCUUGACAGGUUCUGCUUGCUCUCUCAAACUCUUUUUGUGGUCUAAAGUCAACACCUUUAAAAAAAUUUUUUUUAAUUUUUGAAAACUUUUUCUCCCUCAUCCACUGACCCUCAAUAAAAUCAACACCUUUUAAUGUCAUCUCCUGGGUAUUGCUGGGCCUGAACAAAUUAGAAUCCUAUGACAUAGGCAUGGAAAGUUAUUACAGACUCUACAGCCUGAAUUACCUACUACUUCAUAGGUACAUCCCUAGCUAGGCUGGAAGCUGCCAAGGGACAUGGCAACAGCUCACUCUCAACAGCAAGGUAGAACGUAGGGACUAAAAAAAAAUCUCUGAUGAGUUCAAAAGAGUGCACAGUGUCUAGGGAUUUUGAUUCCACAGGGGCCAAGGUACCUAAAUCUCAAGAGCUGCUUACAGGACAGGAGAAGUGGUAGGAAAUGGGAGGCCAAGAGACCAGGAUAUCAGGCUCAGCUCUGCACCUAACAGGCUGCAAUACUUUGGUCAAGUCCCUUUCCUCUCUGGGGCUUGGAUGUCUCAACUGUGAAAUGAAGACAUCAGUCUAGGUCAGUGAUUUCUCAUGCUGUGUUCCUUAGAGCCCCAGGUUUCAAGGGGAUCCUUUAGGAGUUACAGCGGGGGUGAGCAGGAAGUGAAGGGGGUUCUAACUCCUCCAAACAGAGCAGUGCCAGGAUGUCCCAUAUAUUGGAUUUUGGCCUCUGAUUGUUUUUUUUAAAAAAGGGGGGGAGGGGAUUUCAUAGUGAAAUUUAAAAAAAAAUAGAGAUCACUAGUUUAGAUAAUUUUGAGCAGCCCUUUCCAUAGCUAAGUCAUGAGUCAUUACCAUUAGGUUCUCAAGUUUCCCAAGAAGGCACCCUUUAACAAGUUAAACUCUCUUAGCUGAUUUCAGUAUCUAAAAACAGAGAUAACCCUAGCAUAUCUUUCACGUACAAGGUUCAGGGUAAGGCUGAGUAGGAAGGUACAUGGAGAGUGCUUAACGACAUGCCUGGCACACAGUAACAAAUGAAGACAGUAUUGUCUUUCACUGCC
rnacentral:lncRNA from 10 species